UACGGAGGGUGCAAGCGUUAUCCGGAUUUACUGGGUUUAAAGGGUGCGUAGGUGGAUAAGUAAGUCAGUGGUGAAAUCUCAGGGCUUAACUCUGAAACUGCCAUUGAUACUAUUUAUCUUGAAUAUUGCGGAGGUAAGCGGAAUAUGUCAUGUAGCGGUGAAAUGCUUAGAUAUGACAUAGAACACCCAUUGCGAAGGCAGCUUACUACACAUAUAUUGACACUGAUGCACGAAAGCGUGGGGAU
rnacentral:rRNA from 1 species